CCCCUUCUCAGUUCCAAGUAAGACCAAUGACCGGUCGUAACCCCCUGGGCAACCGUGACCGUCCUCAAGGUCUCCUCGCAAAAAACGAGUGCGCCAAAACUGAUCGCAAGCGCUACCUAGCGACCAAGUCGCGAACUUCUCCGCUAGCCUACCCUCUAGGGCGCCAGAGAGCAGCACCUGCUUUCCCUUGAGUUAUAUGGACGCCGUGGGCGAGUCGAUUGUUUUCAACUCAGACCCCUCCGACAGAGUUCUCUACUGUCGCCUAGUGAUGCCAACUUCAAAACUCCUGCCAGAGUUUUUUUUUCGCCCGCAUUCGGGCAAGUUCGGAAUCUUUCGGCGGCCCAGACCCCCUCCACCUGUAAGAGCCGGCGCCCCUUUUUAAUUACGAGACGCGGUUUGCCGCGAGACAGAUCAGCGCGCGUCACGUUUGCAGACAGAUCUCCGGCGAGCUCAGAAGACUCUGGAAAACUUCAUCCGACCGCUAGCGACUAUGUAAUCGUCCUAAAUAAGGGAUGCUAUCCCUCAACUAAAUUCAAGUAGAUUAGCCUGUCUGCAUAGUGUUAGCAAUUUUUUUGUUUUGAAAUUUUCCCUUUUAAUUUUUUUUAACUAUGAAGAAAUCAUCCGCGCCCAGCCGCGCAAAUCGCGAGCUACGGACCAUGGCUGACUCCGCGAUGGCAGCUUGAAGGCAACUCCCCUGUUUUGUCAAGGGUUCGACCUCCCAGCGAUGCACAUAUUCAGCUAGAUUCGAGAUCCAGCAACUACUGGUGGACGAAUUGUCCACCAGUAUGUUUUUCGGCAGUCCGAGAUCCAUCCAUUAGAAGAAGCAGCUUUCUUCCAUUCUACAGUUCGGCAUUUUUAACUCCACACCUGGAAGACUCGGGUGAUAUUGUUUCUAUUUCUAUUCACCCCCCUUUUUUAAAGACAAAACAGCGAUAAGUGACUAUCCACUUAAUCCACUGAUAUGGUAAACUAAUCAGCGACAAAUUUAAUGUAGUAGAACAUUGCAAGUUGUAAUAAUGUAUCAAUACAAUGUACUUUGUUUUAAAUAAUCGCGGGCCGGCCCCUUUUCGUUUUUCUUUUGUUUUUUUUAAAAAAUCUUUGAAACUUGUUAAAACCUUUUGUAUGUAAAGUAAUGGAAACAAAAUAAUUCAUCAGGGCAAAUAAAACAGGGAAAC